GACGAACGCUGGCGGCGUGCUUAACACAUGCAAGUCGAACGGAAAGGCCCUGCUUUUGUGGGGUGCUCGAGUGGCGAACGGGUGAGUAACACGUGAGUAACCUGCCCUUGACUUUGGGAUAACUUCAGGAAAUUGGGGCUAAUACCGGAUAGGAGCUCCUGCUGCAUGGUGGGGGUUGGAAAGUUUCGGCGGUUGGGGAUGGACUCGCGGCUCAUCAGCUUGUUGGUGGGGUAGUGGCUUACCAAGGCUUUGACGGGUAGCCGGCCUGAGAGGGUGACCGGCCACAUUGGGACUGAGAUACGGCCCAGACUCCUACGGGAGGCAGCAGUGGGGAAUAUUGCACAAUGGGCGGAAGCCUGAUGCAGCAACGCCGCGUGCGGGAUGACGGCCUUCGGGUUGUAAACCGCUUUCGCCUGUGACGAAGCGUGAGUGACGGUAAUGGGUAAAGAAGCACCGGCUAACUACGUG
rnacentral:rRNA from 1 species